rnacentral:rRNA from 1 species
UACGUAGGGGGCAAGCGUUGUCCGGAAUUAUUGGGCGUAAAGCGCGCGCAGGCGGUCAUGUAAGUCUGGUGUUUAAACCCGGGGCUCAACUCCGGGUCGCAUCGGAAACUGUGUGACUUGAGUGCAGAAGAGGAAAGUGGAAUUCCACGUGUAGCGGUGAAAUGCGUAGAGAUGUGGAGGAACACCAGUGGCGAAGGCGACUUUCUGGGCUGUAACUGACGCUGAGGCGCGAAAGCGUGGGGAGC